CCCGGUUCCGACGGACCGGGCGGGAGUCAUAAAACGGCUUGCCAGGGGAACAGGCUUGAAGGCCUGGCCGCAGAGGGUGCCAGCCCCGUACCUGGAAGCUUGCCGUCUUCCGAUCAUGUGUCCCAAGUAGCGCGGGCCUCGUGGAAUCCCGUGUGAAUCGGCCCCGACCGUGGGGUAAGUCUAAGCAUACCUGUCUGACCGAUAGCGUACCAGUACCGUGAGGGAAAGGUGAAAAGCACCCCGGGAGGGGAGUGAAAGAGUUCCUGAAACCGUGCGCCUACAAUCCGUCGGAGCCUUCUUGUGGGGUGACGGCGUGCCUAUCGAAAAAUGAGUCUGCGAGUCAGUGGUGCGUGGCGAGGCUAACCCGUGGUGGGGGAGCCGUAGCGAAGGCGAGUCUCAAAAGGCGUUUUGAGUCGCGCGCCCUGGACCCGAAGCGGGAUGAUCUAGCCCUGGGCAGGUUGAAGCGCGGGUAAGACCGCGUGGAGGACCGAACCCACCUGGGUUGAAAACCGGGGGGAUGACCUGGGGCUAGGGGUGAAAGGCCAAUCAAAUUCCGUGAUAGCUGGUUCUCUCCGAAAUGCAUUUAGGUGCAGCGUCGGUUGAUUGCAUCGCGGGGGUAGAGCUACUGGAUGCUUGCGGGCCCGUGUCGGGUACCAAUAGCAGCCAAACUCCGAAUACCGUGGAUGUGUAUUCCGGCAGUGAGUCGGCGGGGGAUAAGCUCCGUCGUCGAGAGGGAGACAGCCCAGAUCGUCGUCUAAGGUCCCGAAGCGUGUGCUAAGUGGGAAAGGAUGUGGAGUCGCAUAGACAGCCAGGAGGUUGGCUCAGAAGCAGCCAUCCUUGAAAGAGUGCGUAACAGCUCACUGGUCUAGUGGUUCCGCGCCGACAAUGUAGCGGGGCUCAAGCACACCACCGAAGACGCGGCAGCGGCCGUAUGGCCGUUGGGUAGGAGAGCGUCCCGCGUGGGGCGAAGCGGCCGGGGAACCGUGCCGUGGACCGCGCGGGAGUGAGAAUGCAGACAUGAGUAGCGAGAGACGGGUGAGGAUCCCGUCCGCUGGAUGACCAAGGGUUCCGGGGCCACGUUCGUCGUCCCCGGGUGAGUCGGGUCCUAAGGCGAGGCCGACAGGCGUAGUCGAAUGGAUGAACGGGUGGAUAUUCCCGUACCGGCGGCGUACCGUAAGAGCCGAACGGAUGAGUACUAACCUCCGGUCGCGUGGCGUCGUUCCCUUCGGGGUUCGGGGUCCGCGGUCGUUGGGAGCGUAGUCCCGGUAGGCUAGCGCACAGGGGUGACACGGAAUGGGAGCCGGCCGCGGAGGUGGUUUUCCGUGGUCAAGCACGCAGCCCGUCCCAUAGGCAAGGGGGUGGCACAGACCAGGGGGUAGCGACUGUUUACCAAAAACACAGGUGCAUGCGAAGGCGCAAGCCGCUGUAUAUGCACUGACGCCUGCCCGGUGCCGGAAGGUUAAGAGGAUCCGUCAGCCCCUUUUGGGGUGAAGCGGUGAAUUCAAGCCCCGGUAAACGGCGGUGGUAACUAUAACCAUCCUAAGGUAGCGAAAUUCCUUGUCGGGUAAGUUCCGACCUGCACGAAUGGCGUAACGACUUCCCCACUGUCUCGACCAGGAGCUCGGCGAAAUUGCAGUACGAGUAAAGAUGCUCGUUAAGCGCAGAAGGACGAAAAGACCCCGGGACCUUUACUAUACCUUGGUAUUGGCGUUAGGCGCGGAUUGUGUAGCAUAGGCGGGAGGCUUCGAAGCAUGGGCGCCAGCCCGUGUGGAGCCGCAAGGUGAAAUACCGCUCUGUUCUCGUUUGACGUCUAACCUCGGACAGUCAUCCUGUUCAGGGACAGUGCCUGGCGGGUAGUUUAACUGGGGCGGUUGCCUCCCAAAGAGUAACGGAGGCGCUCAAAGGUCCGCUCAGCCCGGUUGGCAAUCGGGUUUCGAGUGUAAUCGCACAAGCGGGCUUGACUGCGAGAACGACGGUUCGGGCAGGGACGAAAGUCGGAGAUAGUGAUCCGGUGCCGGCGCACGGGCGCGGCAUCGCUCAACGGAUAAAAGGUACCCCGGGGAUAACAGGCUGAUCAUUCCCAAGAGUCCAUAUCGACGGGAUGGUUUGGCACCUCGAUGUCGGCUCGUCGCAUCCUGGGGCUGGAGCAGGUCCCAAGGGUUCGGCUGUUCGCCGAUUAAAGCGGCACGCGAGCUGGGUUCAGAACGUCGUGAGACAGUUUGGUCUCUAUCCUCUGCGCUCGUUGGAAUCCUGAGGAGGCCUGCCCAUAGUACGAGAGG
rnacentral:rRNA from 1 species